GAUGAACGCUGGCGGCGUGCCUAAUACAUGCAAGUCGAGCGAACAGACGAGGAGCUUGCUCCUCUGACGUUAGCGGCGGACGGGUGAGUAACACGUGGAUAACCUACCUAUAAGACUGGGAUAACUUCGGGAAACCGGAGCUAAUACCGGAUAAUAUAUUGAACCGCAUGGUUCAAUAGUGAAAGACGGUUUUGCUGUCACUUAUAGAUGGAUCCGCGCCGCAUUAGCUAGUUGGUAAGGUAACGGCUUACCAAGGCAACGAUGCGUAGCCGACCUGAGAGGGUGAUCGGCCACACUGGAACUGAGACACGGUCCAGACUCCUACGGGAGGCAGCAGUAGGGAAUCUUCCGAAAUGGGCGAAAGCAUGACGGAGCAACGCCGCGUGAGUGAUGAAGGUCUUCGGAUCGUAAAACUCUGUUAUUAGGGAAGAACAAAUGUGUAAGUAACUAUGCACGUAUUGACGGUAACUAAUCAGAAAGCCACGGCUAACUACGUG
rnacentral:rRNA from 1 species